rnacentral:pre_miRNA from 1 species
CUAUGAGGCCCUAGAAAUCAAGUGUGGGUGAGGCCUGGGAUUAAAGCUUUAUGGCGACCCAUACUUGGUUUCUGAGGCUUU